UACAGAGGUCUCAAGCGUUUGUUCGGAUUCAUUGGGCGUAAAGGGUGCGUAGGUGGCGCCGGUAAGUCGGGUGUGAAAUUUCGGAGCGUUAACUCCGAAACUGCAUUCGAUACUGCGGUGCUUGAGGACUGGAGGAGGAGACUGGAAUUCACGGUGUAGCAGUGAAAUGCGUAGAUAUCGUGAGGAAGACCAGUGGCGAAGGCGGGUCUCUGGACAGUUCCUGACGCUGAGGCGCGAAGGCCAGGGAGCAAACGGG
rnacentral:rRNA from 1 species